rnacentral:tRNA from 1 species
CAGUAAAUAGUUUAUUAAAAUAUUAGUUUUGGAGAUUGAAGAUGAUUUUUUCUUUACUGA